UCGGCUUAACCGAAGAAGGGCAUNGGAAACCGGGCGACUUGAGUGCAGAAGAGGACAGUGGAACUCCAUGUGUAGCGGUGGAAUGCGUAGAUAUAUGGAAGAACACCAGUGGCGAAGGCGGCUGUCUGGUCUGCAACUGACGCUGAGGCUNGAAAGCAUGGGUAGCGAACAGGAUUAGAUACCCUGGUAGUCCAUGCCGUAAACGAUGAGUGCUAGGUGUUGGAGGGUUUCCGCCCUUCAGUGCCGGAGCUAACGCAUUAAGCACUCCGCCUGGGGAGUACGACCGCAAGGUUGAAACUCAAAGGAAUUGACGGGGGCCCGCACAAGCGGUGGAGCAUGUGGUUUAAUUCGAAGCUACGCGAAGAACCUUACCAGGUCUUGACAUCUUGCGCUAACCUAAGAGAUUAGGCGUUCCCUUCGGGGACGCAAUGACAGGUGGUGCAUGGUCGUCGUCAGCUCGUGUCGUGAGAUGUUGNNNNAANNCCCGCAACGAGCGCAACCCUUGUUACUAGUUGCCAGCGUUCAGUUGGGCACUCUAGUGAGACUGCCGGUGACAAACCGGAGGAAGGUGGGGACGACGUCAGAUCAUCAUGCCCCUUAUGACCUGGGCUACACACGCGCUACAAUGGACGGUACAACGAGUUGCGAACUCGCGAGAGUAAGCUAAUCUCUUAAAGCCGUUCUCAGUUCGGACUGUAGGCUGCAACUCGCCUGCACGAAGUCGGAAUCGCUAGUAAUCGCGGAUCAGCAUGCCGCGGUGAAUACGUUCCCGGGCCU
rnacentral:rRNA from 1 species